rnacentral:misc_RNA from 1 species
GGAAGGAUCAUUAACAAGCCGUGAGGGUCGCCCUGAAAGGGGAGUUGACCUGUCACCUGGCCACCCUUGUUUACUCUUAACCUGUUGCUUUGGUGGGCCCGCCGCAAGGCCGCUGGGGGACCUUUUUGGUUUCCGGGCCAGUGCCCACCAAAGACCUAAUGAAAACUCUGAGAGGGAUUUCUGCUGUCUGAGCCGUGUAAAAAAUGCGGUCUUUAUAAAACUUUCAACAACGGAUCUCUUGGUUCUGGCAUCGAUGAAGAACGCAGCGAAAUGCGAUAAGUAAUGUGAAUUGCAGAAUUCCGUGAAUCAUCGAAUCUUUGAACGCAUAUUGCGCCCUCUGGUAUUCCGGAGGGCAUGCCUGUUCGAGCGUCAUUCCUUACCUUCAAGCACGGCUUGUGUGUUGAGCAUCUGUUCCUUUCUUGUGGACAGGCUUAAAAUGCAGUGGCAAUGUCGAGUUUGGAGCCCGAGCGUAUGGGGCUUUGUCACACGCUCUGGUGGCACCGGCUUGCAUUCGGCCUAAAAGAAUAUAACCCUAAAAUAUUCACAAAUUUCGAUUGACCUCGGAUCAGGCAGGGUUACCCGCUGAACUUAAGCAUAUCAAUAAGCGGAGGAAAAGAAACCAACAGGGAUUGCCUCAGUAACGGCGAGUGAAGCGGCAAAAGCUCAAAUUUGAAAUCUGGCUUCCAGUUUAUGGAGCCCGAGUUGUAAUUUGCAGAGGAUGCUUUGGGUGCGGUGGCGGUUUAAGUCCCCUGGAACGGGGCAUCAUAGAGGGUGAGAAUCCCGUCUGCGACCGCCGGCCCUGCCCGUGUAAAGCUCCUUCGACGAGUCGAGUUGUUUGGGAAUGCAGCUCUAAAUGGGUGGUAAAUUUCAUCUAAAGCUAAAUACCGGCCAGAGACCGAUAGCGCACAAGUAGAGUGAUCGAAAGAUGAAAAGCACUUUGAAAAGAGAGUUAAAAAGCAUGUGAAAUUGUUGAAAGGGAAGCGCUUGCGACCAGACUCGACCGCGGAGGCUCAGCCGUCAUGCUUUUGGCGGUGCACUCCUUCGUGUUUGUCGGGCCAGCGUCGGUUCCGACGGCUGGUUAAAGACUCCCGGAAUGUGUCGUCCUUCGGGGCGUCUUAUAGCCGGGGGUGUAAUGCAGCCUGUUGGGACCGAGGAACGCGCUUCGGCACGGACGCUGGCGUAAUGGUCGUAAGCGACCCGUCUUGAAACACGGACCAAGGAGUCUAACAUCCACGCGAGUGUUCGGGUGUCAAACCCGUGCGCGCAGUGAAAGCGAACGGAGGUGGGAACCUGUGUAUCGCAGGUGCACCAUCGACCGAUCCUGAUGUCUUCGGAUGGAUUUGAGUAAGAGCGUGGCUGUUGGGACCCGAAAGAUGGUGAACUAUGCCAGAAUAGGGUGAAGCCAGAGGAAACUCUGGUGGAGGCUCGCAGCGGUUCUGACGUGCAAAUCGAUCGUCAAAUUUUGGCAUAGGGGCGAAAGACUAAUCGAACCAUCUGGUAGCUGGUUCCUGC